AUUGAACGCUGGCGGCAUGCCUUACACAUGCAAGUCGAACGGCAGCACGGGUGCUUGCACCUGGUGGCGAGUGGCGAACGGGUGAGUAAUACAUCGGAACAUGUCCUGUAGUUGGGGAUAGCCCGGCGAAAGCCGGAUUAAUACCGCAUACGAUCCACGGAUGAAAGCGGGGGACCUUCGGGCCUCGCGCUAUAGGGUUGGCCGAUGGCUGAUUAGCUAGUUGGUGGGGUAAAGGCCUACCAAGGCGACGAUCAGUAGCUGGUCUGAGAGGACGACCAGCCACACUGGGACUGAGACACGGCCCAGACUCCUACGGGAGGCAGCAGUGGGGAAUUUUGGACAAUGGGCGAAAGCCUGAUCCAGCAAUGCCGCGUGUGUGAAGAAGGCCUUCGGGUUGUAAAGCACUUUUGUCCGGAAAGAAAUCCUUGACUCUAAUACAGUCGGGGGAUGACGGUACCGGAAGAAUAAGCACCGGCUAACUACGUG
rnacentral:rRNA from 1 species